UCGGCAAUGGGGGCAACCCUGACCGAGCGAUGCCGCGUGCGCGAUGAAGGCCUUCGGGUUGUAAAGCGCGAAAGUGGGGAGAAAGGCCGCAAGGCGUGAUCUAUCCACAGAAGCUCGGGCUAAGUUCGUGCCAGCAGCCGCGGUAAGACGAACCGAGCGAACGUUGUUCGGAAUCACUGGGCUUAAAGGGCGCGUAGGCGGGCUGUCAAGUUUGGGGUGAAAUCCCGCGGCUCAACCGGGGAACUGCCUCAAAUACUGACGGUCUCGAGGGGGAUAGGGGCGAGCGGAACUGAUGGUGGAGCGGUGAAAUGCGUUGAUAUCAUCAGGAACUCCGGUGGCGAAGGCGGCUCGCUGGAUCCCUUCUGACGCUGAGGCGCGAAAGCCAGGGGAGCAAACGGGAUUAGAUACCCCGGUAGUCCUGGCCCUAAACGUUGGGUACUAGGUAGUAGACUUGACAUGGUUUACUGCCGAAGCAAAAGUGCUAAGUACCCCGCCUGGGGAGUAUGGUCGCAAGGCUGAAACUCAAAGGA
rnacentral:rRNA from 1 species